CGAGAAGUAGCUCAGCUUGGUAGAGCACUUGGUUUGGGACCAAGGGGUCGCAGGUUCGAAUCCUGUCUUCCCGA
rnacentral:tRNA from 4 species